ACCACUAUUUACUAAUUUAAAACAUUAGAAUUAUUCGAAUAAUUAGAUAAUUUGUCCAUUUCAAAAUCCUACAAAUAAUAUAACCAUAAUAUUAAUACACAAUCCCAAUUUUCCCCUACUAACAAUGUAAUACAUUUUUCAUUAAACCCCUAGCAACAAAACAAAAACCAAAAAAAAUAUAAAAAAAUAAAAAUUGGUGCGGCAAGUGAACUACCAUUCUCCACCCUAAAUCUGCCAAUGUUCAUUAUUAUUGCAUUGUCAAUGAUUAAAGGCAGGCAAAUUUUUUUAAAAUAAUAAUGUAGAUCAUCAAAACAUGUUUAGUUUGAUAUUUUUGAAUACCCAACUAAACAAAAGUUAAUUUAAACAAACGUGGAUCUCAUGCAUUUGGUAAACAAUAAAUGUGUGUUCAUUAUAGUUGUACAUUUGAAGAUACAAAAGACAAAACACUUUUCAAGUAGUCAUGCAACGCUCCAAAAAUUGUGUGUCAUUCGAAUUUUUUUUUUUUUUUUUUUUUUAAUGCAUAUACUCUCUCAAUAACUUUUUCAUCUUGAAAUAGGAACGCACAACACAUGCACGCAAUGGCGUAGACAUUCAAUUUCUGUGUGGGAUAAAAAAUUUAAAUGCAAAUUUUUAAAAAUUUACACAACAUUAGUGAAAAUAGUUAAUGCACUACUACAAUUGUUGUUUACGGGUUUUCAUACUUUAAACACUUUGUAUAAUAGCACUAUUAUGAAUAUUUUCAAAUACAUCAUUCACCAAACCAUUGAUCUUCCAUCUGAUUGUGCACUCAAUUCUUGACUAUCUUCAAUUCUUUUUAAAUAUGUAAUACAGUCUAAGAAUAAAAAUUCAUAUAGGAGAACUCCAUAAAUAUCAAUAAAGCCUACACUAUUUACCUUGUGCCUAGCCACACUAGAGGACACAAAUUUAAGAACCGUAAGUUAAAUGGCAAGCUUUAUUCACAAUAUAUAAUCAUGAAUCAGUUGGCUUUCAAUAAUAGCAUACAAGAGGUGCUAGAGAAACCAUUUGCAUUCAAAACUACAUAGAAGAAAAUUCAAUGAUCAUAGCCUAAAUGGUUCAAAGUUUUACUAUUAUAAUUUAAAAUACAAUGAAAUUGAGGCGGUAAUGACACUCAAUGGAACCGUAACAGUUAACAUGCACAGAAUUUGUUUUAACAAUUAAAAGUCUAAAAAAAAUUCUUAUAGAAACAAACAAACCUUCAUUAGUCUGGGGGAUAGUGAUAAGGAGGUUAAAAUCAGUACCCUUGCCCAAAUGCUUUGAUUCAAAUAUUUUUUCUUUCAAGUGUCCAAUGGAAAUAAAGUGCCCAUCAAUCAUAACCGAAUCAUAAUCCUUUGCACUUUUAAAUUUAUAAUACAUAUUUGCAAUUGGAGCACAGAUUUGGGUGAAAAGGUCUGAAGGAAAAAGGACAGGAAAUCAAACAUAAACAUUAGAACCUAUAAUUUCAAACAUUCCUCCAAAAUCAAUUGCAAUGUAUCUCAUACCUAAAUGAUGAAUAAUGACAUAGAAAAGUAAAAGGAGAGAAAAUCAAAUUUAUAAAAUUCUAAAAAUGUCUAGAUUCAAAAAUUUUGACCACCAUAUCAACAAAAAUCAAUCUAUAAAAUUUGGGUCCUACCGUUGAGUGGGAAAUUAAUAAAUGCUCAUGUCAUUGUACUAUCAUUAAUGAAAACUGACCAAUCAUUUAUUAAUUAGACAUGUAACACUCGUAAAAAUGAAUCUCAUUAGAUAUUUUGAAUGAUUAUCUCAACAAAAGUUAUGUCAGUCCCAUGCACUGUGCGUACAACGAAUGUGUGUUCAUUGGAAACAAACCAAGUUCCUUUUAAAUAAUAAUGUACACUCAUCAAAAUGUGUUUUACUUGACAUUUUUUGAAUACUGGGCUAAACAAAAGUCAACUUAUAAGAUCAUGGUUCUUAUGCAUUUGGUGGACAAUAAUUGCAUGGUCAUUAUAAUUUUCACUAUCAAUGAUGGAAACCUACCAAAUUGUGUUUAAAUAGUCAUGUAAAACUCCCAAAAAUGUGCCUUAUCAGAAAUUUUUGAAAGAAACACAUUUCUAUAAAUGCAAGUUCAUUAUUGUUUCCAUGGAAGGAAACCGAUCAAAUCCUUUUAAAUAGUCGUGUAACAAUCAUAAAAUUGUGUUUCAUUCGAAAUUUGUGGAACAUUGAAUUUUUAAUACUUGUACUUUCUCAAUAACCUUUUUCCUGUGGAACAACGAAUGCACAACACAUGCACGAUGUUCGCACGACUCAUGCAAGUGCUACUCUUUUUGUCUCUUCUCUAACUUUUUUUGCAAUUAUUGGAAUCUCACAGAAUUGUUGGACUCAUAUCCACCAAGCUGCAUCAUUGGAAUGAUCUCAUCUAGAAAUUCACAAAUCAUCCUUUCCUUGAACAUCAAAUAGUUCUGUUUAAGUAAUGCCCAUUGAUGUAUAUGAUAGCGAUAAAUCAUAGAUUGUGAAGCACAGUAGAAACUAGAAGAUAUUGUAUCAUGUAAAUACUGUAUAAUAAUGAUAUGAGAGAUAUAAUGAAAACAUAUUCCCUAUGACAUAAUACACCUGAAGAAUCCAUACAUUAAAUCAGAAGAAAUCCAUUUUUAUCGCCAAAACAUUGAAUGUAGUUUUCUCAUAUGGGAAAGGUAGAAAUGUGACUAAAUAUCAAGUGUACUUUAUAUAACCGCAUUCUUAAAUUGGACCACAUGGAUCGACAAUAGGAGAGAAAACAAGAGUGUUUGUUUAAACAAAGGCCCAAUGGUGAAGCAACCAAAAAAAAUAAAAAUAAGCAGACAGAUGUAUCUACAAAUUUACAAAAGAAGUUACAUAAAAUGGCAUGCACUAAAAUGAAGAACCAAAUAUGAUAGUGAUUUUUUAGUCACCAUUUCCUUGAUCAUCUAAUACAUCUGGGUAUGUAGUGCAUAUCAAUGUAAACAAUACCAAGUGAAGCAAAGAUUGUGAACAACAAUAGAAACAAAGGGAUAUGGUAUCAUGAAAAACAUUUGAGGAUACAACAUUUAACAGAAACAUAGAUUACCAAAUAAAUAACGCACCCAGAGUCAAAUCAAAAGCAAAUCUUUUUUUGUCGCCCAAACAUUGAAUAUAAUUUUCUCAUUUGGGAAAGGAAAGAAUUUGAUUAAAUAUAAAGAGCACUUUAGUUAUCCACAUUGUUAAUACCCUCAAACUGGACCAUGGGGAUUGAACCAUAGGAAAGAAAACAAGUUCAUUUCUCACAACAAUGGCAAAUCGCGAAGCAACCAAAUGGUUUUUGUUGGUUUGCUUUGUGAUUUGAACUCCAUUAUUUUCAUGUAACAAUUUAACUCAUUAAUUCUUAAUUACUCGGGGGACACAUAUAUAUUGGAUAUAUGAUGAUAAUCAUUUUCAAGACAUUACAAAAUAGGUCGUGCCUCUGUUGUUUGUAUGUGUUUAAUGUUAACUAAUAAGUAUCUUGUCACAUGAGGGUUUAUAUAAGUCUUCAGAAUAUGUAUAGGCUACACUGAAUUUGGUAUUGAUAUGCUAUGCCCUCUAACACAAAGAUGCUUUUCAUUAGAUCUAUGCUUUCUUUUAUGGCUUCAAGCACUCUGACCUAGAUAAUAAAUCUGUAUAAGUAAAGCAUUUCAAUGGACAUUUUACCAAAAAGAAAAAGUAUAAAUUUUGAAGUACAACAAAGAAACAGGGACUGUAUCAUGUAAAUUGGAAAAUAUUUUAGUCCAGACAAAUUUUGAAAUGUUGAAAAUUUAAGUAUAAUUCCAUUGUACAACGAUGCUUAGCCUUAAUCUUAUUUGCGAUCAAACAAAGAAGUAAACAUCAGAAUAGUAAUAAAUAUCCCAAAAGAAACAAAUAGCAUUUGGAUUGAAAUUGAUGUAGGAGGUUCCGAAUCAAGUAAAGAUGAUAUGUCAAAUAGCACAUUGAUGGCAUUGAGAUACCAUGAGAUGAUGGAUCGGUGCAAAGAUGGAAAGUGAUUUCAAUAUUUUUUUUAAUUGAGGCAAUUUUGACACGUUUUUGGUUAUUUGGUUAUAACUUUGGCUAUGAUUAUUAGUGUUGGGUCUAAAAGUGUAAUUGGCGAUUCUGUGAACAAAACGGGCUAAAUUGUAUAAUUGUAAAAGUCAGGGACUUAAUUGAACAUUGGUGUAAAAGUCAAGGACUUAGGGUGCAAUUUGUAUAGAUGAGCUAAAUUACUGUUCAAGUCAUUGAAGGAGUCCAAAAUGUCCAAGAAGAUCACACAAGAUCAUCAAAAUGCAAUUGGUAGUAUAAAGGAUAUCAAAGAGUCGCACAAAUUAUAUUAUGGAUUUUCAGUCGUAACUUGCAAUGUAUUUUCACAUAGAUAACGUUGGAAUUUGAACAAGACUAUCUCUAGAAGAAUUGUAGCCCUUUGAGUUAGCUUUCCAACACAACUUGAAUCACAUCAAUUAGACAUUUGAAGAGAAAGGUAUAAUGAAAAUAUUAAUGACUACUCACUGUCUCUCGCUUCUCGCUGACAUUUCACUCGAAUGAAAAAAGGGAAUACCUCUCACUCAAUUCUCAUUGGCUCUCGCUCGAGCGACAUUUCUAUGUGGUAAAAACCCUAUUUCACAUUUUUGAAGUAUUUUACUCGGCCCAUACCACCUAGAUACCUUCAGAUAUAAAUGCCCAAGCCCUAGGACUAAAUUUGAGAGGUUGCUACAUUAUUCUUUCAUUGCAAAAGAUAUUCACAACAUCUUUGAAGAGAUCCAAGGUGCAAUUAAUUGAAGAUUCCAUCUACAUCAAUCUUGUGAUUUGGCAACCAUUAUUUUUGGGGAAAAACAUCGAAUCUACAUAAUCCAAAACACUUUGUUUCCUUAAUCUAUUAAGGAAGAGACUCUCUCAUUGGAGAAUUACGAGAGGUGGAUUGAGGCGCAGUUCUUGGUGUUCUACUUGGUGAUACAAUUAGCUAAGGACUAGGAGGUUGUAAUGGACAGUAGAUUGGGCUGCAGGAGAUAGAUCGGGAAAUCUAGCAGGAGGCUAGAAGUAUCUACAGUAGUAGAUCGUGAGAUUGGAACAUCGAAUCUGAUUGGGUACGGAGUUUGAGUUAACUUGUACUUGCUGAAUUGGUAUAGUGGAGGUAACUGGCUUGGUCCCGAGUUUUACCCACGUUGAGGUUUCUCCAUCAUCAUAUUGUUUGUUAUUUACUGCUUUCCACAAUAUACAAACUGCGACAUUCCAACAUAGAUUAAUUGACUUGUAUGAUUAAUCACCUAGACAACUAAUUAAAGCGACUUGUUACUUUAGUUAGAUUAAUUCCGCACGUUAGGUCAAAUUGUUUAAAAUGAAAUCUAGAACGUGAACUUGGUAAUGUAUAAAAUUUAAACUUGACACUGUAUCACGUUAGCCGAACUUUCUAGCAUAUUUAAGCGUUCUAGGUGACUUUUCAAGUGGUAUCAGAGUCUAAAAUCGUGACCUGAUAUUAAAUAGUCUAGAUGAGUACCUUGUUGAAUGUACCAUCUCACUUUGAUUGUUGUAACUAUGCGUAUUGGAAGGUUAGAAUGAGGGUAUUUUUGAAAUCCAUGGAUGUGCGUGUCUGGCAGAGCGUAGUGAAUGGUUGGUCUGCCCCUAGUACCACAGUAGAUGGUGUAGCCACUCCCACCCUCGUAGAAAAAUGGUCUACAAUACAAU
rnacentral:lncRNA from 1 species